rnacentral:tRNA from 1 species
UAGAUUGAAGCCAGUUGAGUAAGGCGAUUAGCUGUUAACUAAGAGUUUAUAGGUUUAAGUCCUGUCAAUCUAG